rnacentral:lncRNA from 1 species
UCUUUUGUAUACCUGUAGCAUAUAGUAAUAGUAAGCAGUAAUAGCAAUGGCCUCCUCCAUGAUCUCAUCGGCAACCAUUGCCACCGUGAACCGCUCCUCCCCGGCACAGGCCAACAUGGUGGCCCCCUUCACCGGCCUCAAAUCUGCCUCUGCUUUCCCAGUCACCAGGAAGGCCAACAACGACAUCACUUCUCUUGCAAGCAACGGUGGGAGAGUGCAAUGCAUGCAGGUACUUGGUGAUGCAUAAAUACCACUUAAAUUACCCCAAGUGUUUGAACACAACAAAUUACAUAAAUUGAAUCAAAUAUAUAUCUUGGCUUUUGAGUACAGGUGUGGCCGCCUCUUGGGAAGAAGAAGUUCGAGACUCUCUCAUACCUGCCCGAUCUUACUCCCGUACAGUUGGCUAAGGAAGUAGAUUACCUUCUUCGCUCUAAAUGGAUUCCUUGCUUGGAAUUCGAAUUAGAGGUGUUUUGGAGCUCUAAAUUAUUCCAUUCCUCCUCUUAAUUUUUUUAGUGGGAUAUUUGAGUUGAUUAAGUGUGUUUUAUAUGUAUGUGCAGGAGGGAUUCGUGCACCGUAAGUACUCGAGCUUACCCACGUACUACGAUGGACGCUACUGGACCAUGUGGAAACUGCCCAUGUUCGGGUGCACCGACUCGGCUCAGGUGUUGAAGGAGCUUGAGGAAUGCAAGAAGGAAUACCCCAAUGCAUUCAUUAGAAUCAUUGGGUUCGACAACGUUCGUCAAGUGCAGUGCAUUAGUUUCAUUGCCUACAAGCCUGAAGGCUACUAAGUUGUUUACUUCCCUCCUAGGAAUUCCAUUUGUUUCAAAGUUGUACUUAAAUUAAGCCCCUCAAGCCCCCCCCCCCUUUUUCUUUUUCUUUUUUAGUUGAGUUAUUUGGCUUGGGGUCUCUCUUUGUUUUGUUUUUGGAUUUCCAAUGGAACGGCUGAGAACUAAUGAAUAAAAAGGUAGUUUCUUGCCAUAUUUCAUGAAUCCAGUUCUUCCUCCAUUUUCAGUGCUAAGAUAUUCAUGUUAAGAUAGGAUAAAAAUUAAAAGAAAAAAAGGUGAUUGGGUGGUCUGGCUUUAAAAUAAGAGGAUAAAGAUUUUGUGGACAAGCAACGCUGUGCUGUUGGAGGCUCAUUAUCUUAGUACAUAGGAAUACACCAAAGAAACCAUUUUUAUUAAAUUGUUUUAUUAUGACAUCACAAGUUUCUAUUAUUAAAAUAACAACUUAAAAAGGCUAAAUUCAAAUA